rnacentral:tRNA from 1 species
ACCUGGCCAGCUCAGUUGGAAGAACAUGUGACUUUUGAUCUCAAGGUUGUGGGAUUGAGCCCCAUGUUGGGUG